CCCAGUUCGGACUGCAGCCUGCAACCCCGGCUGCACGAAGCCGGAAUCGCUAGUAAUCGCAGAUCAGCAUGCUGCGGUGAAUACGUUCCCGGGUCUUGUACACACCGCCCGUCACACCAUGGGAGUCGGAAAUGCCCGAAGUCAGUGGCCCAACCGCAAGGAGGGAGCUGCCGAAGGCAGGUCCGGUGGCUGGGGUGAAGUCGUAACAAGGUACC
rnacentral:rRNA from 1 species